GACCUAAGUUUAGAUACCAUCAUAUUUAAUCUAUAUUCUAAAUUCACAUUACCAUCGCAUAUAUUUUAUCAUUUUUUUCAUUUCAUACAAAAGGGUUAAAAACCUAACUAUCCCCCAGCAUACAACUAAAUUACAUAUAGAUAAAAAUUUACUAAUUUAGCAUGCUAAUAAAACAAGAAUCAAUGGACAAAGAGAGAGCACACCCCUUUUUGGUGAUAUUCUCAACCUUUGCUAGCUUAUCUACAAAAGGGAUGGAUUUGAUCUCUUGCAACCCAAAGAGAAACUCUAAAAAUGGUCCGAGUACAGUUAGAACUCCAAAAAAUUCCGUUUGAAAAUCCUAAAACUAACGUCCUAAAAUUUACCAACUCACCUUUUCUUUUCUAAAAAACAAAACGUGCAUGAGAGGGUUGUCUUCAACCUGCUAAAGCUUUCCCUCAAAGCUUUCCACCGUUUUCGAGCUUCAAAUGAGAUCAAUCCCCAAGCCCGGAGCUCCCCAAAAUGGUGUUCACAUUCUUUCUAGAGAGAGAAGAAGAGGAGAGAGAAUAAAAGAGGGAGUGAAGGAGAGG
rnacentral:lncRNA from 1 species